rnacentral:rRNA from 1 species
AGUGGCGGACGGGUGAGUAACGCGUGAGAAUCUGCCUUGGGGUCGGGGACAACCACUGGAAACGGUGGCUAAUACCGGAUAAGCCGAUUGGUGAAAGAUUUAUUGCCCGAAGAGGAGCUCGCGUCUGAUUAGCUAGUUGGUGAGGUAAGAGCUCACCAAGGCAGCGAUCAGUAGCUGGUCUGAGAGGACGAUCAGCCACACUGGGACUGAGACACGGCCCAGACUCCUACGGGAGGCAGCAGUGGGGAAUUUUCCGCAAUGGGCGAAAGCCUGACGGAGCAAGACCGCGUGAGGGAGGAAGGCUCUUGGGUUGUAAACCUCUUUUCUCAGGGAAGAAGCUCUGACGGUACCUGAGGAAUCAGCCUCGGCUAACUCCGUGCCAGCAGCCGCGGUAAUACGGAGGAGGCAAGCGUUAUCCGGAAUUAUUGGGCGUAAAGCGUCCGCAGGUGGCGAUUCAAGUCUGCUGUCAAAGCACGGGGCUUAACUCCGUAAAGGCAGUGGAAACUGAAUAGCUAGAGUGCCGUAGGGGUAGAGGGAAUUCCCGGUGUAGCGGUGAAAUGCGUAGAGAUCCGGAAGAACAUCGGUGGCGAAAGCGCUCUACUGGACGGCAACUGACACUCAGGGACGAAAGCUAGGGGAGCGAAUGGGAUUAGAUACCCC